rnacentral:lncRNA from 1 species
CCAGAGGCUCUGAGCUUUCUGACUGUGCUUUUUGUCCUACUCCCUCAGAUUCCUUCUAUUUCUGGCCAAUUUAAGGUUCCAGUGGAUUAUAAACAGUGCAUUUUACCAGAAAGAAGACAUUAAUUUUCAUCCUUGGCAUUUCUAAUUAUCUCUGGAGUUGUUCUCCAUUCACAUUUGACAAGGGAUAUGACUGGCUUUCUGCUUCUCCUAUAUCCCAUCUCUGUUUUCAUUCGAUGACUUGGUCUGUUCCCAGAAUCCUGCACCAUUGGCAGCUCGCCCACGGUGAAUCCUCACACCAUAUGGACUCUGUUGGGAUGCUUUUCUGACACUGGCUGAUUCUCAGCUGCCUCCCUUCUUUUAACUGCACUCUGUCUCUUCCUGAGGGUCCAGCAGACACCUUGAUCUGCGGGCAAAGGCGGUCCUGCAUCUGAGUGGUGAGUCCUCCUCC